rnacentral:lncRNA from 1 species
GGCGGGGUGUGAGACAGGUGGAGAAGUGAUGGUAAAUUUCCACUCGAACUGUUGGGGAGCUAGUUACUGGUAGAGCGGCCCCAAGGCCGGGCUUCGGUGGCUGCAGUAGACUGGAUCUGGAUCUCUAAAUGGCAAUCUAUUGACAUGGCUGCCAGCGGUACUUGUGUGUAUGCGAGUAGCACUAGAAAUGCCAUAACAAUGGAAUCAUAUGUCCACAGUUCUACCUCUUUGAGCCAUGCAAUUUAAGAAGGUGACAGAAAGGUAAUGAGAGUGUUGGUGCCUGUCGGAGGGAUGGGAGAAGCAGAGCUUCAAAGGAUGAAAAGGAGUACCAAAGAGUCUGGCUAGGCCUAUGGAGAUGACCUUUGCUGAUGUACAUUUUCCAGUUCCACACCGAGUGUCAACGACAGAGAUGGAGGCUAUUGAUCAAGAUCCUUGUGGACCCACCCACACAUUCUUCAUAGAAUCAUGGCUGACAAAGUGACAUGCUAUGUGUUUUCACAAUGACAUAGAGAUUGAAAAUGAAAAAGUUAAAUAUAAAUCUUCAUGGAAGUUUCAGUAAUUUUUAAU